rnacentral:ncRNA from 1 species
CGGGGAAAACACGGACUCCCCGGAGUCAGCAGACCAAGACGGUGUCCCGUCCAAGUCCG